rnacentral:misc_RNA from 1 species
CGAUUCCGACUUAAAUUUUUCAAGUUGCGGCCAUUUUAAAAAACAACAAAAUUCUGAAUAUGCAAUAUACCAUAGUCUCAAUACCUUUCCACUGGGAGGUCUCAUUGAUUCACCCUCAAGUCUCCUCUUCUCAGCUCUUCCUCCUCCUCUUGCGGCUCUGAACAGAGCCCUGUUCCUUUCCUCAGCCCUUGCUCUAAUGCAGGAUAAAACUGCUGAGUCAUUGAUGGCUGGUGUCAUGGCAACAGUUGGUCUCCUAACAGUGGCCGAGGCCUCGAGGAUACGAUAGAGGAUAAUGUGAAGGGGGUAGUCCCUCCGGAGCUACCCGACUGCCUCAUUGUUGAUGACCAGAGAGGGUGGGGUAUAACAGUGUCAGGCCCAGCUUCUUUUGGAAUAAUUCUUCUUCCUAUAUUUAGCGAGGGAUCGUUUGGUCUAGGAGGAGGCGGUGGAAAUGAUCUCAAUUCUAACUAAUGGAGGGAGAGAAAGAGGGAGGGAGAGAGGUUACAAUGAAAUAGAAAGCAACAAGAUUCUGCAAUUAGAUAGGCAAGGCCAGACCGGCAGACCCUUGCCUCCCUGGCCAGCGAGACUAGCUUGGAAGAGAAAGAAAGAAUCUAUCAAGAAUGGAUCACGUGAUAUUAGUCCUCUCUGGUAAAGGAGGAGUUGGUAAGAGUACAGUAACACGUCAAAUAGCACUGGGACUGGUUGAAGAAGGAAAGAAAGUUGGUAUAUUGGAUAUUGAUUUAUGUGGUCCUAGUAUACCUCACAUGUUUUCAUUAACUGGUAGAGAUGUACAUCAAGGGACUGAUGGGUAAGCCCCUAUCAUUAAUUAUUAAUUAU